rnacentral:tRNA from 1 species
AUUUAUUUAAUAUAAUAAGUAUAUCAAGCUUCCAACUUGAAAGUUUUUCCUUAAAAAUAAAUA